rnacentral:rRNA from 1 species
UACAGAGAGUGCAAACGUUGUUCGGAAUUACUGGGCUUGAAGCGCACGUAGGCGGCGUUGUAAGUGUCGGGGUGAAAUCCCACGGCUCACCCCGUGGAACUGCCCGGCAUACUGCGAUGCUAGAGUGUGGUAGGGGGAGAGCGGGAACUCCUGGUGGAGCGGUGAAAAUGCGUAGAUAUCAGGAGGGAACACCGGUGGCGGAAAGGCGGCUCCUCUGGUCCACAACUGACGCUGAGGGUGCGAAAAGCUAGGGGGAGCAAAACGGGG